rnacentral:rRNA from 1 species
CCUACGGGCGGCAGCAGUGGGGAAUAUUGGACAAUGGGCGAAAGCCUGAUCCAGCCAUGCCGCGUGUGUGAAGAAGGCCUUCGGGUUGUAAAGCACUUUCAGUGGGGAAGAAAGCCUUGGGGCUAAUACCCUCGAGGAAGGACAUCACCCACAGAAGAAGCACCGGCUAACUCCGUGCCAGCAGCCGCGGUAAUACGGAGGGUGCGAGCGUUAAUCGGAAUUACUGGGCGUAAAGCGCGCGUAGGCGGUCUGAUAAGCCGGUUGUGAAAGCCCCGGGCUCAACCUGGGAACGGCAUCCGGAACUGUCAGGCUAGAGUGCAGGAGAGGAAGGUAGAAUUCCCGGUGUAGCGGUGAAAUACGUAGAGAUCGGGAGGAAUACCAGUGGCGAAGGCGGCCUUCUGGACUGACACUGACGCUGAGGUGCGAAAGCGUGGGUAGCAAACAGGAUUAGAUACCCCAGUAGUC